AAGUGGCUCAGUGGAUAGAGCACUGGAUUUGGAAUCAGGAAGCUCUGAGUUCAAAUCUAGCCUU
rnacentral:tRNA from 1 species